UUCGGAAUACCGAACGCGCUUAUUCCCUGCCAGUUCAUGUGUCUGUCCAAAUACCUCAUAAGCAUUGCUAUUGUAUCUGCUGCCAGUACCUUUCC